CCUACGGGAGGCAGCAGUGGGGAAUAUUGCACAAUGGGCGUAAGCCUGAUGCAGCGAAGCCGCGUGAGUGAAGAAGUAUUUCUGUAUUUAAAACUCUAUCAGCCGGGAAGCAAUGGCGACCUUUGGUUCGCCAGACGGUACCUGCCUAAGAAGCCGCGUCUAACUACUGCCCAGCAGCCGCCGUAAUACCUAGGGGGCAAGCGUUAUCCGGCUUUACUGGGUGUAAAGGGAGCGGAGACGGCAGCACAAGGCUGAAGUGAAAUGCCGGGGGUUAACCCCGGAACUGCUUUGGAAACUGUGCAGCUAGAGUGCAGGAGAGGUAAGUGGAAUGCCUGGUGUAGCGGUGAAAUGCGUAGAUAUUAGGAGGAACACCAGUGGCGAAGGCGGCUUACUGGACUGUAACUGACGUUGAGGCUCGAAAGCGUGGGGAGCAAACAGGAUUAGAUACCCGUGUAGUC
rnacentral:rRNA from 1 species